rnacentral:tRNA from 1 species
ACUUAUGUAGUUUAAUUUAAAAUAUCGAUUUGUGGUAUCGAAGUUAUGUAUAUAAUAUAUCUUGGGUU